rnacentral:rRNA from 1 species
GAGUUUGAUCCUGGCUCAGAUUGAACGCUGGCGGCAUGCCUUACACAUGCAAGUCGAACGGCAGCACGGGAGCAAUCCUGGUGGCGAGUGGCGAACGGGUGAGUAAUAUAUCGGAACGUGCCCAGUCGUGGGGGAUAACGCAGCGAAAGCUGUGCUAAUACCGCAUACGAUCUACGGAUGAAAGCGGGGGACUCGCAAGGGCCUCGCGCGAUUGGAGCGGCCGAUAUCAGAUUAGCUAGUUGGUGGGGUAAAGGCCCACCAAGGCGACGAUCUGUAGCUGGUCUGAGAGGACGACCAGCCACACUGGAACUGAGACACGGUCCAGACUCCUACGGGAGGCAGCAGUGGGGAAUUUUGGACAAUGGGCGCAAGCCUGAUCCAGCAAUGCCGCGUGCAGGAUGAAGGCCUUCGGGUUGUAAACUGCUUUUGUACGGAACGAAACGGUCUUUUCUAAUAAAGAGGGCUAAUGACGGUACCGUAAGAAUAAGCACCGGCUAACUACGUGCCAGCAGCCGCGGUAAUAC